rnacentral:misc_RNA from 1 species
UAACCCUCAAGCCUAGCUUGGUGUUGGGGCCUGCCUCCGGGCAGCCCUUAAAAUCAGUGUUGCAGCGCCGUCUGGCUCUAAGCGUAGUAAUCUCUCUCGCUAUAGCGUCCGGCGGCUGCCUGCCAGAAAACCCCCAAUUCUAU